rnacentral:tRNA from 1 species
GCGGGCGUCGCCAAGUGGUACGGCAAUAGCUUCCCAAGCUAUCACUCGCGGGUUCGAAUCCCGUCGCCCGCUCCA